rnacentral:ncRNA from 1 species
AUAAAGUUUUAUUUUGGCUUAAAGAUUAGUUAAUUGAUUUUAAUAUAUGUGUGUUUUGUUAUUUAGAGAGGGCGUUAUUGCAGUGUUUAGAAUUAAAAUUUUAAAAGAAAUUUUGAAUUAGAAAUUUAUUUUAGUACAAACAAAGGUUGUGCCAGCAGUUGCGGUUACACAAUCUGUGUAAACUAAUUUUUUCUUAUCCAUUUAAGUUGAAUAUGAAUUAAGCUUAUUGAUAAAUUUAUGGGGUGAAAUUUUAAAUUUAUUUUUGGUUUGGUAUCGGUUGUUGAAGCUGGGAAAUUUUUAUUUAAACUAGGAUUAGAUACCCUAUUAUUUUAAAUGUAAUGUUUAAGUUGGAAUUAGUAUUAGUUAUGUUCUUGAAAUUUAAAGAAUUUGGCGGUAUUUCAGUCUAUUCAGAGGAACCUGUUUCAUAAAUGAUAGUCCACGAUAAAUUUUACUUUAUCUUUAAGUUUGUAUAUCGUCGUAUUUAGAAUAUUUUUGUAGAAGUUUAAUGUUCUUGGAUUUUAAUUAAAAAGUAGUUCAGAUCAAGGUGUAGUUUAUGAUAAAGUGGAAAUGGGUUACAUUAGAUUAUUUUUGGUUUUGAGGUUUAAAAUAUUAAUUAAAUUGGAUUUGAAAGUAAUUACUUGAAUUUUCUUGUGAUGAUUUUAGCUCUGAAAUAUGCACAUAUUGCCCGUCACUUCCGCUAUUUGUUGUGGAAUAAGUCGUAACAAAGUAGGCUUAUUGGAAAAUGAGUCUGGAAAGAU